UGGUGGAAUAGUUCUUGGGAAUCUGUCCAACGAAGUGACUAUUUUUCGCCUUUUCCUCAAACAGCAUGGAUUGUGUUGUUGUUUCUUGUUGUUAACUGAUCACUGUUUCUUCUUUAAAUCCUUUCUUUAACUGUUCAGUCCUGUUGGUAGGAUAACAAACGUGCUCCAUGGGCCAGUGGACGACAGUUUGACAGUCUGCCACUUGAUCUUUACAGAAGUCUCGGCUCAUCCUCGUGUUGUUUUCCCCGCUGAAUAUAAAAUGAAAUUCCCUGAACUGAAACUAAUUUCUCCCAGGUUUGAUACCAAACAUAUAAAAACUCUUGGCUCAUGGAUCUCACGCUCACAUCAAAAGACUCAGUCCACAUUUCAACAUGUGUAUCCAGGUGUGAUCAGAGACUCCUGCAAUGUUUCCACCACAUUUAUUCCCGUGAAGGUGACUGCGUUCCUGCAGUGUGAGAAGGGUUGGAAAAAGUCGGCGGGUGUCUGCAGAGAGAGAUCGGCACACCGACGUCUCCGCUGCCUACAUCCAAACGUUUGGUGGAGUCAAACUCAGACAUGAUUACACCGAGUGUGGCAGGGAUUGCAUCAUAUCUGUUAUUCCAGCUCAGGAGGAAAGCAUGUAAAAAAAAAUAUUGUUGAAUAUAAAAAUUCUCUGGAGAAUCUUAAAACUCGUGUUUCCUGUUAAUACUCUGUUAUUUUAAAUCCCCAGACUAAUUAAAUGUGUUUGUGCGUGUUACCGCAUCAUAAA